GGGAAUUAACCAAGUUUUUGGCAUUCAUUAUAACAUACAUAACUACGUAUAUAUUGAUUACAUAACUUUUGUAAAAAAAAUGUUUUUAUUUUAACUGAAAUGAUUAGUCAUAUUUCUUAUGUAUAAAUUUGACAUUUACUUUAAAUAUUCUAAAGAAAUCAGUAUAAUAAAAGUAUCUUAAUUUUCAUUGCAGAUAUAUCAGGAAUAUAGGCAAGCUGUUGGAAAGGCCCCUCCUCAACUACAACACAAACAGCGCUCUUUUCUUACAUUUGGGUUUGGUGCUGGUGGUGGUACUGGUCCCUCUCCAUCUCCAAGGAGAGAGAGCCAUGUUAAUGUCAAUGUUA